rnacentral:SRP_RNA from 10 species
GCCAGGCGCAGGGCAUGCACUUGCAUUCCAAGCUACUCAGAAGGCUGAGCCAUGAGGAUCACUUGAGCCCAGGAGUUCUGGGCUGUAGUGCAUUGUGGGUAUCAGGUAUCUGCACUGAGUUCUGCAUCAAUCCGGUGACCUCCUGGGAAGUGGGGGACCACCAAGUUGCCUAACAAGGGGUGAACUGGCCCCUGUCAGAAAUGAACCAGGUCAGAAGUCCUGUGCUGAUCCCUAGUGGGAUUGCACCUGUGGAUAACCAUUGCACUCCAGUCUGGGCAACAUAAUGAGAUCCUGUCU